UGGGCUUCGUGAUCUUUUGCUUUUGGAUUCUUUAUUUGGGACUGAGUUGAAAUCAUAGCGCCUGAAUUCAAACAUCCACUUCUUUGGGCCUUGCAAACUGGACCAGGCCCUUCCAAUCAAUACCACAUUGGAGCCCUUUCUAUCAUUUUCUCUUUCUUUUAAUUUCUUAAAAUUCAUUUUAAUAUAUUUUACAAGAAUCUGUGCUUGAUUUGUCAACUAAAACUUAUGUGUCAAUAUUGAUGUGGACAAUUUUUUUAAUUUUUAAUUUUAUUUUUAUUUUUCUUCACAUGGCCAACAAGAUUGUUGGCGCUUGGUAGAGGCGAUGGCCAACGAACCCCUCAACAAGCGCGAGUAAGGGUUCGUUGUUUCACAAAAAUAAUAUUUAGUAUAUACCAAAAUCGAGAUUAGGUGACAGUUAAGCAUGAAUGUGUCAUAUGAUAUCGAACUUUAACCGACCAAUACUCAAUUCGAUAGUCUUAUAACUCUAAUUGAGUUUUUAUUUUUGUAAAUUAUUUAUAUGAAAUUUCGAGCCCAGUCCAUUUAUAUUUCAGCAUAAUAAAAAUGAAUCUAGGUGUAACUUUUGAAUACUUCAAUUUUCUUUUGCAAUUGAGUUCAAGCAAGAUAUUCAAUACUCAAUCGAGCUAAACUCGAGUAAAGUUUCAAGCAAUCAAACAUGUGAGUCGAGCUUGACAUUGCAUUAGCUCAUCUCAAUGUGAUUAUCCUUCUAUCUUGAGUGGAUGGGGAGGUCGGCUAGGACGUGACGAUCAACCAUCGCUCAACAACUAGAUUUGGUUUGCUACUUAACAAUUUUAAGCUCGAGUCUUGGUUUGUCUAUAACUGCCGGUGACAAGCUCAAUAGCUUUGUCAAGGACCAUGGUGGGCACGGAGGCCACAGUGAGGUGGUGGCGAUGGCGGGUUGGGCAAUGGAGAAAGCCAAGCCCAGGCAGAGCAUAGGUUGAAGAAGGACGAGUAAAAGAGAAAAAAAGAUUAAUUUUUUUUAAUUUCAAUGUCAAUAUCCAUACAUGAAGAUCUAAUUAGAUAUUAGUAAAUAAGUGCAUGCCAUAUGAGACGUUGACAUGGCGCGAACCGUUGAAUAUUUUUUCUCCCCACCGCAAUGACUAGACUUAGGUCGCUAUCGAUUAGACUAAUGCCUCAAAAUUGGAUUGCGCAUCCUUGCGCGUGGUCUAAGAGACACCAUCCGCACGGGUGAUCGCGUGGGCCGCAGCCGCACCCGCACCCGAGACCUCGUGGCCAGAUUUACAAACCCUAGCGGCAGUCUCUGCCUUUGAGUCCUCUGAUUCUUUCUUCAUCGGUCCACCUUUUGUCUCUUGAGAUCUUCUUUCUGCUUCCCUGGCUUUCUCUCUCUUCCCACUUUCUUCUUCCUCCUCCUUCAUACUCCUUCAAAACAAUAGUCAACUCAUAACCGCCUGGCAGCCAGAGUCCUAGAUCUCUCUAUCUUCUCGCCCUCGACACCGUCAGGGCCGGGCAACCCAUCGUCGUUACGGGUCAGCUUCGUUUAUUUUUGCACUCCUAUGGUUUACCGGUGAUCCCGACGUCGAUCUCGCCCUCUACACCCUCGCCGCCGCGCGUUCCUUCCUCGUCCAGCAGCAUAUUUAUCUGAAAUCGAAAGCUGAAAACUUUUUCACCAACCAAAUGGCCCUGAGUCUCGUCCAAUGUUUUUCUGAGAAUGAUACAGGCUGAGAGCGCUUGUUUCUUUGAAGCGAGCGAGAUCUAGAGCCAAAGCAAAGGGAAGAGAUCGUUGACUUCGCUGCCGAUCGGGGAAGGGCAACCCCGGGUCAGAGGCCGCGGUGCCUCUCCCAGAGCAAAGCCGACUCUGCUUCAGCCUUCAGCCCUUGAUUUUCGUAGCAAGACUCUCUCUCUGUUCCGAUGCUUGGCAAUCUAGGGAAGCACAUGUACCAUCAUCACUUCUGAUGGCUGCUUCUUCGAAUAUGGAAAGGAAUUACCAUGUGUUCCUCAGUUUCAGAGGGACAGAUGUCCGCCAAGGCUUCCUCAGUCAUCUCUACGCGGCUCUGGACCAGAGAGGAAUAUACACUUUUGUGGAUAGCGAGGAGCUUAGGAAAGGAGAGGAAAUAUCGCUGACGCUCAUGAGGGUGAUCGAGGAAUCGCGCAUCGCGAUCAUCGUUUUCUCUGAGGACUACGCCUCCUCGCCGUGGUGUUUGGAAGAGGUAGUGAAAAUCAUGGAGUGCAAGGAGCGAAUGGACCUGAUUGUGUUCCCUGUGUUUUACAAGGUGGAACCAAGAGAAGUAAGAGGAGGGAGAGAGAGUUAUGGGAGAGCUAUGGCUAAUCAUGAAUCCAAGCUUGGGAAGGAUUCGGAGGAAGUGAAGAGAUGGAAGAAGGGUAUCUUUGAUGCUGGUAACUUGUCUGGGUGGCACUUGAAUGACGGGUAUGCACAAAUGUGACUCAGUGCUUUGCCAUUGUUAGAUGUCAAAUAGUAUGCUCUUUUUUUUAAUAAAAUUGAAUAGUAUAUUCGAAUUGCUCAAACAAUGCAUCAACUUCUUUGAAUUUGCACAUAUAAGCUCUUGUUUGAACGACGGUAUGCACAAAUUGAAUCGCUAAUUGUAGACGUUUAGAGGUUAAUUGGAAAUGCUACUAUAAAUUUGAUUACCCAUGAGUAGGAAAGAAUCACUCCCACUGGAAAAGUGGUAUACAUUGUUAAAUCGGUCUUUUGAUUGAAGAUACAAGAGGAGAUAUGCUAGACAGUAGUCACAGAAGUUGAAUAACCAAACUUCAAGCUAGCAGAUUCUUCGAAUUCGAUUCUUGCUGUGUAGAUGAUGAGAAAUUUUAUGUCUUAAAUUAAUAGUGGGGUUCAUAAUUUCCGAGUCAUUAUUGUCAUGUUCUUUGUAAUUAUUCUUCUGUAGAUGUUGAUGCAGGUUCACCCAUAUUUUUUUUUGCUAAACUUCUUACGAAAUUUUCCUUUAUGAUGUUAGAGGUUGAAUUCCUGCCAUGGCUUUGCAACGCUAAAACAUGGUUCUCUUUCUUUUGACUGUUAAUCAGAGAUGAAGCAGAGCUCAUACAACGCAUUGUGAAGGAAUUAUCAAUUCAUCUUGAUCGAACACCCUUACACGUGGCUAAGUAUCCGGUCGGAAUACACUCCCGCGUUGAAGAACUGAUAUGGUUGUCACAAAAAGAGUCGGCCAAUGAUGAUGUUCUAAUGAUAGGCCUAUGGGGACCUGGAGGCAUAGGGAAGACAGCAAUUGCUAAAGCCAUGUAUAAUGCUAUUGAGAGACAAUUUCAGGGUUCCAGUUUUUUGGCGCUAGUUAGAGAAACUUCGAAACAAAUCAAUGGUUUAGUUGCUUUGCAAGAAAAACUUCUAUCAGAGAUCUUAUCCCUUAGAAGUUUAAUGGUAUAUAGUGUUGACGGAGGAAUUAGUUUGAUACGGGAAAGACUAUGUUGCAAGAAGGUUCUCCUGGUUCUUGAUGAUGUUGACCGGUUGGAUCAGCUCAACGCAUUAGCUGGAGAAGGCCAUUGGUUUGGCAAAGGAAGUAGAAUCAUUGUUACAUCAAGAGAUAAACAUUUACUAACUUCUCAUGGCAUAAAUUGUGUGUAUGAAGUUCAAACUUUAGAAGAUGAUGAAGCUCUAGACCUUUUUUGUCAGCAUGCCUUUCCAAAGAAAGUUGAAAUAAGAAGGGAUCUCAUAGAUAGAGCACUGCAUUAUGCUGGCGGCCUUCCAUUAGCCCUUGAAGUGUUGGGCUCAUUCUUAUGUGAAAGAAAUGAACCUGCAUGGGAAAGUACAUUGCGUAAACUCUCCAAAGGUCCUGACCAAACUAUCAAUCAAGUUCUCAAGACAAGCUUCGAUGGAUUGGAGGAUAACGAGAGGGAGAUUUUCCUCGAUAUUGCUUGUUUCUUUAAAGGGAAAAGUAUAGAGUACAUCAAGGAAGUUCUUGAUAGUUAUGAUUUUGACACAACCAUAGGAGUAGAUAUCCUCAUUGAGAGGUCCUUGAUCAAAAAUGAGUAUGGGACCCUGCAAAUGCAUGAUUUGGUUCAGUUGAUGGGUAAGGAUAUUGUUAAUCGGGAAUGUCUCGAUGAUCCUGGGAAACGCAGUAGACUAUGGCUUUUCGAAGAUGUUCUGAACAUUCUAUGUGAAGAUUUGGUAAAAGUUGUUUAUGUGAAUUUCGCCACAUCUCAGUUUUUACAUUACUCUGAUUUGCAUAGUAUAACGUAAAUCUCAAUGGAAAUCUUGUGACACAACUGAAUUUGCUGUGUUAUGGACAGGGAACGAAUGCAGUAAAGGCCAUAGUAUUGGAGUUGCCUGCACCACAACAGAUAACUAUAAAUCCUAAUGCUUUCAGACAUGAAAAUGUUGAGAAUGCUCAUUUUGCAUGAGCUGCAUAUUUCUUCACAAGGUCCCGUACGUCUCCCUAAUGAGCUUAGAUGGCUCAAAUGGCCCAAUGCCCCUGAUCUAGAAUUUGGCUCUGGUCCAAAGAAGGUUGUUGGACUCGAUGUCCAGAACAGUCAUAUCAGACAAUUACGAGGCCAAAUUAAGGUAAGCCCUUGUGAGGAUUAGCUUUCCCUUUUUAUAACAAUAAAUAUUUGCAGAGCUUAACGACUUUUUUUUUCUUUUUUUGUCAGACAGAGUUUUUGACUGCACUAGUAUGUUUUUGCAGAAUUUUAGAAAGUUGAAGUCCAUCAAUUUCAGUGAAUGCAAGUCCCUAACUAGUGUUCCCGACCUUUCAUUGGUUCCAAAUCUGGAGAGCUUCAAUCUUGAUGGGUGUGAAAGCUUGGUGGAAAUUCAUCAAUCCGUCGGAUAUCUUGACAAGUUGAAAGUAUUGUCGCUCCGAUGGUGCUCUGAACUUAGUAUGUUUCCUAACAUGCUCAAGACAAAAUCUCUUCAAAUCCUUGAUCUUUGCGGUUGCUCUAAACUUGAGAAGUUCUCUGAUGUUCCAGGAAAGAUGGAAAAUCUGGAAGAACUUCAUCUAGAUGGGACAGCUAUUAAAGAACUCCCUGCAUCAAUAAAAAAUUUUGUCUCUUUGAAGAGGAUAGGUUUAGGAUAUUGCAAGAACCUUGCAAGGCUUCCAUGGAGCAUUUAUAAGUUGAAAAAUCUUGAGAUUCUUAAUCUUGAAGGUUGCUCGAAUUUUUUCCUGUUUCCAAAGAACUUGGAGGAUUUAACCGAUUGCAAUGGUAAUAUGGGAUUCUCAAAUCUAAACUGGCUAGAUCUUGAUAGCUGCAAUCUAUCAGAUGUAGUGUUCCUUGAGAGUUCUUCCAGUUUUCCCAAAUUGGCGUGGCUAAAUCUUUCAAAUAACAAGUUUACUCAUUUGCCAACAUGCAUCAACAAGUACGAUGGUUUGGAAGAAUUGCAUGUUUAUAAAUGCAAGCAACUAAAAGAUAUUCCUCAGCUUCCAUCAAAAAUGCGUUUUUUAAGAGCAAAGGGUUGCAAUUCUCUGCAAAAACUCCCAGAUUUGUCGAGUAUUUCCUCCUCCUUCCUUCAAGUUGACUUGUCUUCAUGUUCCGAAUUAUUCCGCGAAGGGGUCAACAUAACUGAUAUGUCAUCACUGGAGGUCAGACUCUCUCUCUCUCUCUCUCUCUCUCUACCUUUGAAUGCUUGAUACCCUACAAUCUGUAUGACAGAAACUCCCUAAGAAGAGCAGAGUCGACAUUCUCCUUAUUGGAAGUGAGAUUCCAGAAUGGUUUCUCCACUGUAAAGAGGGUUCCAUAUCUUUCAUGGUUCCCCAGUACUUGUAUAACAAGUUCUUAGGACUAGCGCUCUGUUUUGUUCUCGGCCUGGAGGAAGGAAAAGUGGUUGAUGCCUCAUGUCAGGUCCAAAUAUUUGUUAAUGGCAAAAAUUUGCUUCUGUAUGGGAGAAUCUUUUAUUCAGUGGAAUCGGAUCAUGUCUGGCUUAUAUAUUUCCCACGCAGAAAUCUAAAAAUGUAGAGGAGCAUCUGCGAAAUGAUUGGAGCCAUUUCGAAGUUUGCCUUCGAGUAUCGGAAGUAAGUUUAAAGAAGCAUGGAUUCCGUCUAGUAUGCGUGGAACAGGAGGAUCAUCUGAGGGUCUGUGCUCCAACACAACAAGCCAAUUUGGAGUUUCAAGGAGACUUAGAGGUAGACAAUUCAUAGACACUAAGGAAGAAGAUAACCCAAGUGAAACAGACGUAAAGGUGAUCGACUUAACAAAGAAGAUUAGACGGUCUUAACUGUGGCGAAAGCAUGGGUCCUAUUCUCUCCAACUCUGAUAUGAUUGUUGGCUUGCAAAAAUGCCUGUCGAAUUGGUCUCUCGACUACAGACCAAGGAAAGAAAAAAGAUUAGGUCUCGAGGAAGUGAUUUUAGGGAAAGCGAACUGGGUGAUUCUGAUUCCAAUGCCUUUUGCUUUUCCCUUUUUUGCGUAUCUACUAGAAAUUUGUACAUGUCUACUCCUUCGAUUAGAAUUCAAAAUGACUAUGGAACAGAGGUUUCGCAUGAUGCUGCUGACUUGAUUGAGGCACUUUUUUUUACCUUCUCUCUAUGAUUUGUGAUGUGAGCGCACUAAUUCAACAUUAAGUGGAUGCUUGUUGAAUGGCAAGGUCUUCCAAGUUAUUCUGUGAAAUUUAUCACAGACCUCUUUCUCCUCUCUUAAACCAAUUAAUGAUGCCAAUGCUUAAUACUCUACAAUUCUGAGAAUUUACUAAAUCUAAUAUAAACUAUAUAUUUAGGAAAGUGUUGAUCUAAUUGUCUCAAAUAUCAAAAGGUCCAUACGGGGGAAAUUAGUUGACUCUUCGUUGUUACUAAGCAGAUUGCAUUGGAUAGCUAGAAAGGGAGAGCUUUAGCUUUGAGACUUUGCAUUUAAGCAAAGCACAUUGACUUUAAGAAUUUUUAUGAUAAGCAUAUAGCGUAUAGUAAAAACCUCAUAUAAUACUUAUUGCAAAGUAGUUCAUAAAAUAAGAGGGAAAAAAAAAAAAAACAAAAGGAGAACGGAGAGACUUGCCAUUACAAAUAGAAACCCAAGCAUGGGGCUCAACGGUAGCACCAGUGCCAACGUCCCACAACCUAGGUAAUGUGCCUGGGGUAAAUUAUCAAAAAAGUCAUAAAUACAUGACAAUCAAGUCAAUUCAAUCUUAAAUAUUUUAUUUUUGUCAAAUUUAGUUAUAAACAUUUUAAUAAUUUGCCAAUUCAAUCCAUUCAGCUAAUUUUGGCUAGCGUAGAUGCUAGCUAUCUUACGUGAUGCCAUUGGAACUAAUAUGGACAAGAUUUAUAAUUUUUUAUUUUAUUAUUUAUUCUCUCUCUCUCUCUCUCUCUCUUUUAUUAUUUUUUUUUUUAUUGUGACCUUGCCAGUGAUUGGUUGGUGAAGUCAUGGCUCGCCCAACCCCCGACGAGGCCCGAGUCCUCACUAAGGUUGUGAGGUUGACCCUCGCGGCCUUUGACUUCAUAGCCUUUGGGGAGGGCCACUCUUGCCCAGUAAUGGUGGGGUUGAGCCUUGCUAGCCACAAUGAAAAAAAAUAAAAAUAAAAAAUAAAAAACAAAAAGAGAAAAAACUUCAUAAAAUUUACAAAUUCAUAAAAAAUUAUCCACAUCAGUGACAACGGCACCAUGUGGAACGGUCAUCAUCCUUGAUGUGGUGUUUGGAAGAGGCUGUGAAAAUCAUGGAGUGCAAGGAGCGAACGGGCUUGAUUGUGUUCCCAUUGUUUUACAAAGUGGAACCAAGAGAAGUAAGAGGAGUGAGAGAGAGUUAUGGGAGAGCUAUGGCUAAGCAUGAGUCCAAGUUCGGAAUGGAUUUAGAAAAAGUGAAGAGAUGGAAGAUGGCUCUCUUUGAAGCCGGUAGCUUGUCUGGGUGGGAGUUGAAUGAUAGGUACGCGCAAAUGUGACGUGGUGUUUUGUGAUUGUUAGCUUGUGAUUGUUUGUUAGAUAUCAAAUCAUAUGCUCUUUUUUGGAUCUUCCAAUUAAAGAUACAAAGUGGAGAUAAAUUAGACAGUAGACACAUAAUCAAAUAACCAAAGCUCAUAGAUUCUUUGAAUUGAUUCUUGCUAUGGAUAAUGAGAAAUUUAUCUAACAUAAAUAGUGUGAUUCAUAGUGCCCGAGUCAUUAUUGUCUUCAAAUUUAGGUUCUUUAUAAUUUUCCUCGCGUAGAUGUUGGCGCAGGUUCACCCACUUUUCAUCUUAUUAUUUACUAAUCUUCUUAUGAAAUUUUCCUUAUCACGUCAGAGGUUGAAUUCCUGCGAUGGCUUUGAAAUGCUAAAACGGCUUUUUCUUUCUUUUGAGUGCUUAUUAGAGAUGAAGCGCAUCUCAUACAAUGCAUCGUGUGAAGGAAUUAUCGAUUCAACUUGACCGAACACCCUUACAUGUCGCUAAGUAUCCUAUCAGAAUAGAUUCUCGAGUUCAAGAACUGAUAUGGUUGUCACAGAAAGAGUCGGUUGAUGAUGAUGUUCUAAUGAUAGGUCUAUGGGGACCUGGAGGCAUAGGGAAGGCAACAAUUACUAAGGCCCUAUUUAAUGCUAUUGAAAGACAAUUUCAGGGCUGUAGUUUUUUGGCACGAGUUAGAGAAACUUUGAACUCAAGCGAUGGUCUAGUUGCUUUGCAAGAAAAACUAAUGUCUCAGAUCUUAUCUCGACGAGAUGUAAAGGUUGAUAAUGUUGAUAUGGGAAUUAAUUUGAUACAGGGCAGACUAUGUUGUAGGAAAGUUCUCCUGGAUCUUGAUGAUGUUGACCAGUUGGAUCAAUUGAAUGUGUUAGCUAGAGAAGGCAAUUGGUUUGGCAAAGGAAGUAGAAUCAUUGUUACAUCAAGAGAUAAACAUUUGCUAACUUCUCAUAGAAGACAUUUUGUUUAUGAAGUUCGGACUUUAGAGUUCAAUGAAGCACUAGACCUUUUUAAUCGGCAUGCUUUCCCAAAUAGCAAGAGAGUUGAAAUAAGAUGGGAUCUCAUAUGUAAAGCAGUGCAAUAUGCUAACCGCUUUCCAUUAGCCCUUAAAGUGUUGGGCUCAUUUUUACGUGGGAGAGAGGAACCCGCACGGGAAAGUACAUUGCAUAAACUCUCCAAAAUCCUUGAACAAACAAUUAAUUGAGUUCUCAAGAUAAGCUUCGAUGGAUUGGAGGAUAAUGAGAGGGAGAUAUUCCUCGAUUGUGCUUGUUUCUUUAAGGGGGAGAGUAUAAUGUACAUCAAGGAUGCUCUUGAUAGCUGUGAUUUUGACACAACUAUAGGAAUAGAAAUUCUCAUCGAGAGGUGCUUAAUAAAAAAUAAGUAUGAGAUCCUACAAAUGCAUGAUUUGAUUUAGUUGAUGGGUAAGGAUAUUGUCAAGCAAGAAUGUCCGAUGAUCCAGGGAAGCACAGUAGAUUAUGGCUUUUUGAAGAUGUUCAAGACAUUUUAUAUGAAAAUACGGUAAGAGUUGUUUAUGUCAAAUUUUCUACAUCUCAAUUUUUACAUUACUCUAAUUUGGACAAUAUAAUGUAAUUCUCAACCAGAAUUGUUUGACGACUUAAUUUGCUCUGUUAUGAAUAGGGAAUGGAUGCAGUAAAGGCCAUAGUAUUGCCCGCCCUAGGAGUGAUAACCAUUAGCCCUAAUGCUUUCAUAAACAUGAAAAUGUUGAGAAUGUCACUCCCCGAAGCUCCUUGAGCAUGCGCACAUCCCUCGGUGGAUAGCGACGUCCCAGGACGCGUCACCGACUCAUUCGUUUUAUUGCACAUGCAGAAGCGAAUAAACAAUUCUCCUGACAGCCAAACAGCAUAGGAUAGAAAAGUAGGACAAUAAAUUCACAACCAAAAUACGCUUUUAUAAACCAACUAGUUUAUAUACAAUACUAGUCUUAUCUACCAAAAAUAUCAGUCCUCAAAAGGAAAUUGUCCUAUGAUCCACUAGUCAGACACAUUCACUGACCCUUCGAACUCCACAGGCUUCGGGGGUGCCAGGUCCACCACAACACCAUCAGGAUGGUCUACUGUACCCUCGCCAAAAGUAGCAUUUACUACUGCAGCUAGGAUCUCAAAAUCUUGGAGGGGACUCACUUUGUAUCCAUUGAGCCCACAGCGAAACCACGCCUUAAAUCGAUGAAGUACCCUCUCAGGUAGGCCCUCAUUGACCUAGACAGUGGUUACUAUGAGCUCAUAGACCUAGACCCUGUGGCCUCUGGGAACAAGGUAGUCAGUAACCAACUCAGUCACCCUCCUAGGUUGACCAUAACGCAUUGGAGGGAUCGCCAUCUAAGGACCUGAAAAGAAUUGAGCCAACGACGGAUUGAGACAAUAUCUUAGCAAGUUCACCCUCUAAACUCCGACUAGGAAGGAAAUACGCUUAGAGGCAGUCUAUGCACACAAGAUAGAGGACUUACCUCCCCUUAGUUCCCUCUUACAUAUUAGCACAAUUCAUAUAUUCAAUCAAUUAAUCAAUCAAUUCAAUUUAAUCUAUAUAAUCGAUCCAUCAAUCAAUUCAAUCAAUACAAUCUAUUAAUGAGUCAAUACAAUAGCAGGGGUCCCGAUUAUAAGGCUAAAUUAUUAUGACACGUCCCAUAUCGUACCACACAAUUUUGUCCCAUAAUCCGGCGCGUCAAAGCCAAUCAAUCACACGUUCCAAUUUCGAUUACUACUCGCAAAGGACAAUAUACCGACGCAGAUCGGUCUUCUGGCGUAGCCAAACUUCGUCUCACACCUUUGAGCACGGCAACAUCCAUCAACACACAUUGGGGAUAACAUUCCCGAAGGAGCAUCGGUCCAGAAUUUACUGCGACCGGCUUUUGUUGUCCAGGGGCAUCCCAUAUAGGGGCAACGUCUUACCGAUGCACAUCGGGGACGGGUUCACUUAGCCAUCACACGAUCAAUCAACCCGGGCCAAUGAUAUUGUGCUUUGCAUUCAAAUGCCUCAAUUAAAAUAAUGACUUGGCCUAUUUUCUUCGUAUUAAAAACACCCAAUAAAAAAAUAAUCGUGUGUGGGUUCACGGUCAAAUUGAACUAGAAAAAUUGAUAUCAUUCCUUUUAAAAUCCCACUAUUUGAUAUAGUAAUUAAAACCUUUUUUUUUGGUGUCAAAAUCCGAUACCCGGGAUUUUCUAAUUGAAUAUCAAAUUUCACAAUUUUGGAAUAAAUAACCAAAUUUCACAAUUUUGGAAUAAAUAACCAAAUUUCUAAUCAUCACUCAAUUUGCACAGAUUAACACUCAAUUGCAUAAACUAAGCACACCAUUGCAAUUAGCACGAAAUUCCAGUCACUAGCUAUCCUGGUAUAAUUUUCGAAAAAUAUUAAAUAAUUAAAUAAUGCAAUUUAAUACAAUAAAUACCAACUUAGGGAAACGCUAGUCUAACCACCUAAACGGGCCUAAAAAAUUUCCGUAUAUAUCUAGAUAAAUAGUACAAUCUAAUUAGCCCCUAAUCAAUUUAUUCUAACCACCUAACAUGCACAAUUGAAUAAUUAAAUCACUAAUCUACACUAACUAACCACAUAAUCCUUAAUUAGCCUAAACUAAACACCCUUUAAGCAUUAUUAACUCUCUAAGUAUAUUUUAGCAAGUAAACUCAUUGGUUUAGUGGGAUAGUGAGUUCACGACGUCGGCGACGCAGAGGCGAGCAAAAAAUGAGCCUACGACGACACCAACAGAGGUCUAGGUGGGCCUAAAAACGAGCCUUGAAGACCAAGAACCCUUGUUGGCUUCAGUUUUUGCUUGGGCGGGAAGAACCGGUCGAAGGGGCUGCUCGGCUAGGGGAAAGGGGCAUAGCGGGACGACAAGGGCAGUAAUGGACCAGGCGGGCAAUUCCAGCGGCUGGACGGCAAUGGUGGAGCUCCGGCUGAGCUUUGACAGCGAUCGGGUGGCUCGGGACAACAGUUGGGCACGAUAGGAGGCACGAGCGAGCGGGACAAUCGCAUGAGUGAGCGGGCGGCGCGACGGGUGUGCAACGGCGGUCCGGCAGCUUUGGGCGGUUGUCGAUGGCAAGGGGGAGGGCUUCUCUGGUUUCUUUGCAAUUUUUGAGCUCAAGACUACCUCAACAAUGGAUAAAGGUGGCUGGGGAAGAAUAAGAAGAUUGCUGAAGGAUGGAGAGUCCCAUUUGGCCACAAAAGUCCAUGGAAAUAUCCAUUCUACUCAAGUUUAUGCCCCCACCACUCUUGGCUAUCAUCCAUGGCCAAUUUGCAGCACCAAAUUUCCCCUAGAAGCUUCCCCAAAUGGUCCAUAAUGUUGUCUUCCCCUUAGCCUACGAAUUUUGGGCCAAUUCCACCUUCAAUUCCUUUCUAAAUUGACCCAAUUGAUGUCCAAAAAAUUCAGCCAAUGUGUCCUCGUCAAAUACAACAUUUUUCCUCUUCAACUGAACCAACUUGACGUCCAAAAUUGCGACAAAAAAUGGCCCUGUGAUUUUUCCGGUCCAAAAUAACCUUACUUUGAUUUUUUCGCCGAAAUCUCUCGUUUGCAGAAAAAUCUUCGGAGGAUGAGUUGACGUUCUUAAAAUGAAUCAUGACAUGAAAAAACUUUUAAUUUCUAAAAUCGGGUUCAAAUUCGCGGUUAAUUUCAACCGGGCACGAUUUUAGCGUAAUCUAGCUUAUCGGGUAGUUUUUAUGAAUUUUUAGUGCAAUUGACCUGUGGUCGAUUAUUUUCGAGCCACAUUGUACCUCUUCGACACAUUGGUGAUUUUCGAUUUUCGUGAAAAUCUCAAGAUUUCAAAUAUGGACACGGGGUACAUAAAUGACAGAAAAAUCAGUCUAGUGCUGUUCGACAAAAAUUUUGCAAUUAGGUGGAAUCACCCACACUUUAAUCACAUAAUUUAAUCGAAUUGACCUAUCUCUGAUCUCUAAUCAAUUUUGAUAGUGCCGUAUUGACUCUUGCAGAUUAGCAUGAUCAAGCAGUUGAUUUAUAGUUGAAUUCUCAAAUUUAUUGCGUUAAAAUCCCUUAACGGCUUCAUCAGAUAGACUAGUUAUCUCGUGAGUGAUUAGCUCAAAGAAAAAGACUAUAGGUGCAUCGAUGAAAAACCCAACUUAUUCAAUUGAAAAUAGAAUUGGAAAAUCGUGAUGUCGCAGAAAAUGCUCAUUUUGAAUGUUCACACUAUCUCUUCACAGGGUCUUGUGCGUCUCCCUAACGAGCUAAGAUGGCUUAGAUGGCCCAAUGCCCCGGAUCUAGAGUUUGGAUCUAGUCCAAAGAAACUUGUUGGACUUGAUGUCCCAAAAAGUCCUACGAUACAAUUAGAAGGCAACUUUCAGGUAAGUCCUUGUGAUGAGAGCUAUGCCCUUUUAUAGCUAUAAAAAUAUUUACAAAGCUUAAUGGUUGCACUAGUAUGGUUUUGUAGAAUUUUAGAAAGUCGAAGCACAUCGAUUGCAGUGCAUGCAAUUUCCUGGCUAGUAUUCUCGACCUUUCAUUAGCUCCAAAUCUGGAGAGCUUGAAUCUUGAUUCUUGCGGACGUUUGGUGGAGGUUCACCAAUCCGUUGGAUAUCUUCACAAGUUAAAAUAUUUGUCGGUACAAUCGUGCAUUAAUCUUAGUGUAUUUCCUAAUACAAUCCAGUCAACUAAUCUUCAGGAACUUCAUCUCUCUCGCUGUUCUAAACUUGAGAAGUUCCCCGAUAUUCUAGUAAAGAUGAAACAUCUAGAAUAUCUUGACUUACAAGAGAUGGCUAUUAGAGAACUCCCCAUAUCAAUUGAAAAUCUUGUUUCUGUGAAGAAGAUAGGUUUGGAAUAUUGCAAAAACCUUGCAAGGCUUCCAUCAAGCAUUUACAAGUUGAAAAAUCUUGAGUCUCUAAGUCUUGAAGGGUGCUUAAAUUUUGUCACAUUUCCAAAGAACUUGAAGGAUUCAAACUGAUCCUAAUGGCGAUAUGGGAUUCCAAAAUCUAUGCAAGCUAAGACUUAAUGGUUGAAAUCUAUCAGAAGUAGAGUUCCUUGAGAGUUCUUCUAGUUUUCUGCUAUUGGCAUGCCUACUUCUUGCAAAUAACAAGUUUACUCAUUUGCCGACAUGCAUCGACAAGUAUGAUUAUUGGAAAGACUCAUUUAUUCAUAAAUGCAAGAAAUUACAAGAGAUUCCUCACCUUCCAUCAAAUUUGUGUACCAUAGUAGCAAAUAGUUGCAAUUCUCCGCAACUCCCAGAUUUGUUGGGUUUGGCCUCUAAUUGCCCCUCUCUCUCUCUCUCUCUCUCUCUCUCUCUGUAUAUAUAUAUAUAUUUAUGACAGGAACUCUUGGAGAGGACCGAAGUCCACAUUCUUCUCAAUGGAAGAGAUGCAUGAUGGAUUCCACACUAUAAACAUGAUUCUUUAUCUUUCAUGGUUCCCCAAGACUUGUAUGACAAGUUCCUAGGAUUAGCACUCUGUUUUGUUCUCGACUUGGAGCAACGAAAACUGGUCCAUAAUCAUUCAUAUGUGCUUAAAAUACAUGUUAAUAAUGCCCUGAGAGUGUCUUCAUCUUCCGACCAAAUGUACUUUUAUCCAUUGGGAUCCGAUCAUGUGUGGCUUAUGUAUUUCCCACACAAAACACUAAUUAGAGGACGAUAUCAUCCGCGAAAGGAUUGGUACCAUGUCCAAGUUGGACUCAGAAUCGAAAAGAAGCUUGAAGAAGUGUGGAUUCCAUCUAAUAUGCGAGCAACAAGAAGAUGAUCUGAGGGUUGUGCUCCAGCACCAUCAGCCUAUAGAAAGAAAUUGGGUUGUCAAGGGAGGACACUUAGAGGAAGAGCCGAUAGAAGGAAAUUGGGUUUUCGAGGCAGGAGACCCAGAGGAAGACAUUGAAGACUCCAAGGAAGACAAUAGAGACUCAGAGGCAGACAAUUCAAUAGACACCGAGGAAGAAGAUAGUCUAGCCGAACAGAACUUAACAAAGAAGAGGAAAUGUUCUUAACUGUGGUGAGAGUAUAGCUUGCAAAACAUGCCUGUCGGAUUGGUCACGACUUGUUGAGGAAGUGAUUAUAUGUGAUUUUGAUUCCAAUGCCCCUUGCUUUUCCCUUUAUCAGUCUCUACUAGAAAUUCAAAAAUGGCUGCUCCAUCAAUGUUAAUUUGAAGUCAUGCUACUGAGAUGGUUGAGGAACUAUUUCUUCCCCUCUUGUUUUCUAUGAUUUGUGAUGCAGAUAGACUGCACUAAUCCAACAAUAAGUGGAUAGAUAACAUUGAACUUUCAAUAAUUAAACAUGUCAUUUAUACUAAGUAAAUAUUCAAAGGAGAUAUAUCAACAUAGAAAGAGAUAUUUACACCUAAAGUAUCUCAAACUAAUCUAAUAAAAAUAAAUAAUUAAAACCAAAUAUCCUCAUUUAUCUCAUAAAUUGGAAAAGUCUCUUUUAAUCUCCUAAUAAAAUCCUUUGAGAAUUCUGAAGACACAUUGGUCAACCAUGAAAAGACCUUCAGAGAGCCCCUAUGGCUCCUCAAAGGCGCAUUCAUUAUGCGCCAUGUGACACUCAACUCAAUGGUUGAAGUCUUGGUUGUCUCAAUUCCAUAGUACUCUCUUAUAAAAGCUAUUGCAAGCCUUCUAUAAUCCGGGACCAUGUUGACCUCCCAUAGACGAUCUAACACUGCUUGCCAUUCUAGUGGAAGAGUGUUCACUAGGGCCAUCAUCUUCUAAAAAUCCGAUAUAGGAUAAUCAUUCCAAAUGAUUUAUUGUAUCAUCUGAUUGACCCUGAACAUCGUCGUCAUUCUACCGAUAAUUAACUAAUUUUGUUUUUAGCCCAUCAAGUUUCGCCUUUUGUUCGUCUAUUCUCGGAAAUAUAGGCAUGUGUACAAAAUGAAUUAUUGCUCUUGCAACAAAUGUGGGACAAAAGGGUUGCAUAUAAUCCACAACGAACAUAAUAGGAAAAUCAUAUUUUCCUCUUUUUUUUUUUUGUUGGUCAACACCAGUCAACAGUGGUCAACGAUGGUCAACUCUAGUCAAUGAUCGGUCAACGGAUGACUGAGUCGGGUCAACAAGUCAGCUAGGGGCAAAAUGGUAAUAAUGUCAAACAAUAAGCGCAUGGGAACCGCCUUGGCAUGUGCGUUGCACACUCUAACGAUGCAAGACUUCCGACCAUGCAUGGCGGCACGUCCGGCAGUCCCCCGCGGUGAUCCACCCAUCGUUUUUCUUGUCUUAACUAGAACUAUGACUCUGCACUAUCAAAAACAAGUUUUGAUUUAUGGAAAAUCAUGAAAGGGGGGCGAAUAGUAUAGGCGCGUCAGGAUUUCCGUCCUUGAACGUCCGACGGUGACGUUUCUCAAAAUCUCGGCCAAAAAACAAUUUGUAAACAUCAAUGAUGAUCAAGAAACAUGAACAAUAUUGCUUUAAUACCAAUGUUGGAAACAAACUCCUAAAAAUUGAAUAGAUACUCAAACAAUCGAAUACCGAAAACAAAUGUGAAAAAUGUGUUUGGGAAAACAUGUAACACCGAUCGAAGGCAUAUCAUGGAGAUGGACAUACCUUAAUUGUCACAGAUUAAGUACCGUCAUAGUUUUUGAGGAAUUCUUUGAAGCCCUAGGGUUCUGUUUAUUGAGAGAAGUAUAUUACUUCAAAGGGAGAAAAGUGAAGAAACAAAUUUCUCUCUGAAGAAUGAUACUAUUCAGAUAUCCCGUUUUUUACUUUUUAUUUUAUAUAUUAGAGCAACUACACUCUUUUAUAGGCCCUUCAUUUACUGGCCAGGUUUUGGCCAAACAUGGACGGACGGGCUUAAGUUGACCCAUCAUUGAGAUAAUUAUAGGGUUUUAGUCAAGUAAAGAUUCGCAUCCGUUGUUACAAUUUAUUUUUACCAUAUACCUCAUUUUAAUAAUUACAAAAAUUCCUCUAUAAGUAUGCCAAUUUCAAUUGAUACUUAUCAAUUUGUUGGUUUAUGGGGAAAUUCUUUGAGCUAAAAAGGGGUAAAACAAUAUCUGAUGAACUAGCUAGAUGUAUACGGAAUACAGAAGUGUGGUGAACAAAUGGGUUAAAGGAGAACACCUAAAAACAAGAAGCUUCGGUACAAAUCCAAUAGAAUUGUCCAACCUCGCUAAACAUUCGGAAUGUGUAAACCGUAUCGAAUCUGCACUUUAUAUCACUAUAACUCGUAAUACCAUAAAUUAAUUUUACCGAUGUAUCAUAAUAGUAUUGUACUUUUAAUUACAAUGGGAUGUUGUAAUAUUAUAUUAUACAUUCAAAAUAGUAUAGAAAUGACUCAAACUUACGAGUUUGUUAUUGAAUAGGAAUGAUACGUUGAAAAAUAAUGAAUUUUUCUAUUUUUAUGCCAAUCGGGAAAAAAAAAAAAAGGAGAGUUCUUCAAUUUACGGCACAGAUAAGCUUAUGGGAACCAAAAUCGAGUUUAUGUAAAACUUAAACAUGAGUGGUCGAUAAAAAAAAAAAAAAAACAUGAAUGUGCCAUACAAUUCAGCCUCUUCGGUCGGCCCCUCCCUAAACAAAUCACCGCCGUCGAUCAUAUCCAACGACCCACCUCUGUCUCUGGGCCCCACUGCAUAGUGCAUAUCCCCAAUUCCCCAUCCCUUUGACCCCCGCUCACCUUGAAUCUCUCCUUCUUCGUCAUUUUUCCCAUUCCAUUCCGUUUCUUUAUAAAUAAAUAAAAAACGGAUUUGAGUGUAAAUAAAAAAAAAAUAUUAAGAGGUAUCCAAAAGACACUGAUUAAGAAUAAUAAAAUAAUAAAAAUACAUAUAAACGCAUUGUAAAGAAUUAAGCAAGAACAAAUUUCGAAAGAGAGCAAUUUAUUUUAAUUUAAUUUAAUAUAUACAUUUUUUUUCUUCUUCUCCUCUUGAAAAGUUUUCAGUCCCAUUUCAAUUGGCAAGUGAAAAUGCCAAGUGAUUUCCUCUAAGAAUAUUUUAUAAAGUGAAGUUCAUACUAAGAUUGCAUUUAUAUUCUUCAUUGACUUGCGCUAAAGUUCAAUCUCUCUGACUUUCCAUCUCAUUAGCAACCCUUCGUUUCAAGUCUUGGAGACCUAAAGUUAUGCGCAAAAUUCAAUGAAGUAGAAAUGAUAUUGCCAAUCACUUUCUGAACUCAAGAAAUUGCCGAGAACCGUACACGAUCAUUUUCGAAUAGUGGGGGAGAGGGAACGAGGAAAGUUCCGAAAGGGAAAUAGGAGAAAGAAACUUGGGCCACGGGCAAAUGGCGCAAGAUCAUUUUCGGAUAGUCUUUGACUGUACCUGAUGGUGAUAAUGCGCGUGGGGUUCCUAAACCCAAAAGGAUACCCCCGGUAGUCGUGGGGAUCUGAUCUACGUAUAACUUUCUUUGGUCUUUGUUCCAUUGCGUAAGCCAUAAUCCACAAACAAAGUGAUAUAUAGAUGAGAGCUAGAGCCUGGAAACCCCAUCAGAUAGUAAACAUUCUUGAAGCCCAUCAUUCAUCGGCUCUUCUCAUGGCUGCUUCUUCGAAUCAGAAAAGGUUUUAACAUGCUCCUGAGUUUCAAAGGCAAGAACGUCCACAACAACUUCCCUAGUCAUCUCUCUAAUUGAAAUUUGAAAAUGUCUGCUCCUUCAAUCAGAAAUCAAAAUCACUAUGAAAUAUAAAUUUCGCAUCAUGCUACUGACAUGGUUGAGGAACUUCUUCUUUUUCCUCUCUUUAUUUAUGAUUUGUGAUGCUAAGUAUUUUAAUUCAAAAUUAAUUGGAUGCUUGCUGAAUGGCCAUGGUCUUCCGAGUUGCUUUGUGUAAUUUAUUAUAAGGACAUCUAUCACCUCUUAUAAUCUAAUUGAUGAUGCUAGCACUUCAUACUCUAAAAUUCUGAGAUAGUAAGUUUGAAUCAAUCUAAUAUGAUCCAUCUCUUUGGGAAAGCAUUGAUCUAAUUGUCUCACAGAUCAAGAGGUCUAUACAGGGAAGAUUAGUCGGCUCCUCUGUUGUCACUAGGCAGAUUGCAUUGUAUAGGUACUAAGGGAGAGCUUUAGCUUUAAGAUUUUGCAUUUAAGCAAAGGACAUUGACUCAAAGGAAUUAAUUUUAAAGUAAAUAGUGUUUAAUACCUUGUUAAAAUACUUACUGUAGAGCAUUUUUUUUCAAAUAAGCAAGAAGAAGAGAAUAGAGGAACUUGCAGUUGCAUAUGAAAACUCAAGCGGGGGCCACAAAACUAGACCAGUGCCAACGUCUGCGAUCCCAUUGCGCUAACGUGGUCCCAUGCGAUGCGCAACGCCAUGGCCACACAAAUAGGUAAUGCAACGCUCGACCCUCAACAAACUAGAUCUGGUGUCAGGUGACCCUAGGCGAGUAGAAUUUGGUGUCGAGCGACCAACCCCGGUAAAGCUUGCUGAUGUCCCCCAACCCUCGUCAAGCUUGCCGACGUCCCCCAACCUUCUCCAAAAAGCAUCCCAGCCAUGAGCGACCACGGCUCUCUCUGUCUCCAUCCAAGAUUGGGUUGGGGGGACGGGUGCUAUUGGAAAAAACAUGAACAUGCAUGCCAAAGAUGUUAAGCCCCCGAGCUCUCCCUCGAGCUUCGACCAUUUUCAAUGCAAAAUUUUGCACCAAAAUAUUUUAGCUUAUUACACUUUAAAAUUUAAUAUCAACUUAAAAUGCUCUCGGAAUUGGUACUUUUUUAGGGCGAUCAAUAUUCACCGCUACAACCAUUUAAUAACAGGAUUAAUCAAUCUUUUUUUUUUCAAUUUUUUUUUGUCAAGCUUGCACCCCUUUUUUAUAUAUGAUUUAAGAAUUAGGAGGUAAGAACAUAGUGAUUCAUGGUUCAACAAUUUACAUUAACCUCAAGAAAAAAAAAUUAAACGUAGUUAUAAUUACUCUAAAUAUUAUUCUAUCAAAGAAAGAGUCAAUAAAUAAUCUCCAUACUAUAUAAGGAGUCGGCCGAUAUUAAUAAACAGUUAGGAGGACUAAAUAUUCAUUACCCUUAUUAAAAGGUUUACUUGUUUUCUUCUCUCAGAAUCAUACAAGUGUGAAAUAUUAUGUUUACUUCAUUUAUACAAUAAAGAAUCCCUAAUAUUGUGCACGCAAUUCAGGCUUUAUAUUAUAUUAUAUUUUUAUUGUAUAAUUGAUGUACACAAAAUAUAAACACGUCUUUGUCUUUCUUCCUAUUUGGUAAAAAAAAAUCUUUCACAAAAUAGAAUUUAUUAAUGUAAACACUUAAUUCGUGUGCUUGUUACUCUAUAACUAUACUAAUACAACCACAAAAUAGAAUUUAUUGUAAAUUAUUAAUGUCUCUUUAAAAUAUAUAUGUCAAAUUGUUUACUCCAAGUAAUUUUACAAUGUUUUAUACCAAACAACGUAACUUUGCUAUCAAAAUAUCUUCUCACUCUAUAGGGUUUGCGAGGGUCUUCUAUAUAUGUAGUCUUUCUUCGUCUAAUAACUUAAAUUUCUAGGUUGGACUAUUCAAUAUAAUAUCAAAGCCAAGUUCACACUUUUUUUUUUUUUUGUAUAUGUGGCUCUCCAUACAUCAAAUUCACCUAUCAUUUUAAGAUCGGUUUUGCACGCUAAAAGAGAUAUUAUAAUAUUAUACAUUGCUUAUUUACAGAAUUUAUACUUACCUUAUUAUCUCUUCACGAAUAGUGGCCAACAAAAAAAGAAAAAAAUCAUAAUUAAGUGACUCCUACAAGUGCACGAUUACGGAAUGCCGCAUGUGAAAAAAGUAACUUUAACCUACUAUGAACUGAGAUGACAAAAACCAAUCAAAACAAAUAAUGUUGAUUAAGCUUUUUUAAGUCUAAAGUCCAAGUAUGCAAGGACUGACCUGGUUCAUUUUUUUUUUUUUAACAUAGUGAUCAAGAUAAUAUUUUUUACUUACUUAUAGUAGAUAGAAAUAAAAUCUAAUUUUAAUUCUCCAAAAAGUUGACUGAGAUAGUGAGAGAUUGAUUCAUACGACACAUCCUAUAUCUAGUUACAUACUCGCCAUUGGCGAUCAUGGGCGUGCAUAUCCCAAGCUUAUGGGGUUCAUGUCCCAAGGUUAAAUAACAAGACAUUAUAUAUUCUUUUCCCAACUUAACAUCGUGUUUAGCUUAUGGGGAUUCAUGUCCUGAGACUUAAUAACGAUGCCAUGUUUAUUUUUUACCCGACUUGUAUCAAGUUUUUCAUCUCCCAUACCUUUUCUUGAAUGCUUUCAAUGCUUGGUUGUUUACUUUAAAAAGCCAUUUCAAUGGCCUAUUUGUUAAUUUCCUUUCUAGAAGCUUGAGACUAGAAAAAAAUUUUAGUUGUCAAUUAAAACUCAGAUGUCAAUACUAAUGUAGACAAUUUUAAAUUUUAAAUUCUAUUUUUAUUUUCUUCACAAAGCCAACAAGACUGUCGACCCCCCUCACUAGGCAUGGGGGAGGGUUCGUUGUUUCACAAAAAUAAUAUUUACAAUAUAUGAAAAUCAAGAUUAGGCGAAACUUAAACAUGAAUGUGCCAUAUGAUAUUGAACUUCAACUCGUUAGUACUCAGCUCAAUAGUUUUACAAGUCUAAUUGAGUUUUUCUUUUUGUAAAUUAUUUAUGUGAAAUUUCAAGCCCAAUCUAUUUAUAUUUCAGCAUAAUAAAAUUGAGUCCAAGUGCAGCUUUUGAAUACUUCGAUUUUCUUUUCCAAUUAAGUUCAAGCAAGAAUUUCAAUUCUCAAUCAAGCUAAGCUCGAGUGAAGUUUCAUGCUAUCAAACAUGUGAGUCGAGCUUAACAGUGCAUCAGCUCGUCUCAAUGUGAUUAUCCUUCUAUCUCGAGGAGUAGGCCUAGGACGCUAGCGCUUAGACUUGAUACCUCAAAGGUGGAUUUGCGCGUCCUUGUGCGUCCUUUUUGCGCGUUCUUUGACGCGUCCUUUUUUCGCGUCCUUGCGCGUCUUUUUUGCGCGUCCUUACGCGUUCUUUUUGGGACGCGUUCUUUUUGCGCGUCCUUGGGCGCGGGCCGGACCCGAGAUCUCACAGCCAGAUUUAUAAACCCUAGUAGAAGCUUUCGUCUUCUGAGUCCUUGGCCAAUUCUUCGUCGUUCCAGAUUCGUUUGUUGAUCACGUCGAUCUCGCCCUCCACACCCUCACCGUCGCGCAUAAGCAGCAUAUUUAUCUGAAAUCGAAAGCUCAAAACGUCUUCACGAGCCAAAUUACCCUGAGUCCGGUCCAAUAUUUUCCUGAGAAUGGAACAGGCUGAGAGCGUUUGUUCCUUUGAAGCGAGAGAGAGCGAGAGCCAGAACAAGAGGAAGAGAUCGUCGACUUCGCUGCCGAUCGGGGAAGGGCAACGCCGGGUCAGAGGCCGCCCAGCCUCUCCGAGAGCAAAGCCGACUCUGCUUCAGCCUUCAGCCCUUGAUUUUCGUAGCAAGACUCUCUGUUCCGAUGCUUCGCAUUCUAGGGAAGCACAUAUACCAUCAGCUAUUCCAAUGGCUGCUUCUUCGAAUAUGGAAAGGAAAUAUUACCAUGUGUUCCUCAGUUUCAGAGGAACAGAUGUCCGCCACGGCUUCCUCAGUCAUCUCUACGCCGCUCUGGACCAGAGAGGAAUACACACUUUUGUGGAUCGCGAGGAGCUUAGGAAAGGAGAGGAAAUAUCGCCGACGCUCAUGAGGGCGAUCGAGGAAUCGCGCGUUGCGAUCAUCGUUUUCUCUGAGGACUACGCCUCCUCGCCGUGGUGUUUGGAAGAGCUCUUCAAAAUCAUGGAGUGCAAGAAGCAAAACAACCUGAUGGUGGUGUUCCCAGUGUUUUACAAAGUGGAACCCAGAGAAGUGAGAGGGGGGAGAGAGAGUUAUAAGAGAGCUAUGGAUAACCACGAGUCCAAGUUCGGGAAGGAUUCAGAGAAAGUGACGAGAUGGAAGAGGGCUCUCCUUGAUGCUGGUAACUUGUCCGGGUGGCACUUCAAUGACAGGUAUGCACAAAUGUGAUGCAGUGCUUUGCGAUUGUUAGCUCGUGAUUGUGUGUUAUAUAUCAAAUCGUAUGUAUAGCUUCGAAUUGCCAAAACGAUGCAUCAAGUUCUUUGAAUUCGCAGUAGACACAAAAGUCGAAAGACCAAAAUUUGAAGCUAGCAGAAAUUUCUGUCUUAGAUAAGUAGUGUGGUUCCAAGGACCCGAGUAAUUAGUGUCUUCAGGCGCACAUUCUUUGUAAUUUUCCUUCCGCAGACGUUGACGCAGGUGUGUAUUAUUUCUUUUCAUUUUAUUAUUUGUUAAUCUUCUUAUGAAAUUUUCCUUAUGACAUUAGACGUUGAAUUCUUGCCACGGCUUGAAAUGGUAAAACAUGUUUCUAUUUCUUUUGAGUGCUCGUCAGAGAUAAAAGAGAUGAAGCGGAGCUCGUGCAAUCCAUCGUCAAGGAAUUAUCAAUUUAUCUCAGACCAAGAUCCUUAUAUGUCGCUAAGUAUCCAGUCGGUAUAGAAUCCCAAGUUCAAAAUCUGAUAAGUUUGUCAGAGCCAGCUGGCAGUGAUGUGUUGAUGAUAGGUCUAUGGGGACCUGGCGGCAUCGGAAAGACCACGUUUGCUAAGGCACUAUACAAUGCUAUUGAGAACCAAUUUCACGGUUGUAGUUUUUUGGAGCGAGUUAGAGAAAAAUCGAACCAAAGCGGUGGUCUUGUUGCUUUGCAAGAACAACUUCUAUCUCAGAUCUUUUCUCGUACAAAAUUUACGGUCUACACUGUUGACGAAGGAAUUAGUUUGAUACAGGAAAGACUAUGUCGCAAGAAGGUUCUCCUAGUUCUCGAUGAUGUUGAUGAUAUGGGUCAACUGAAUGCCUUAGCUGGAAAAGGCGAUUGGUUUGGCAAAGGGAGUAGAAUCAUUGUUACAUCAAGAGAUAGACAUUUAUUAACUUCUCAUGACAAAAAUUAUGUGUAUGAAGUGAAAAUUUUGGAAGACAAUGAAGCACGAGACCUUUUUGGUCAGCAUGCCUUUACAAACAGCAAUAAAGUAGAAAUAAGAAGGGAUCUCAUCGAUGGAGCACUGCGUUAUGCCGGCGGCCUUCCAUUAGCCCUGGAAGUGUUGGGCUCAUUCCUACGUGGAAGAAAGGAACCUGAAUGGAAAAGUACGUUGCAUAAACUCUCUAAAAUUCCUGAAUCAAAAAUCAAUCGAGUUCUCAAGAUAAGCUUCGAUGGAUUGGACGAGAAUGAGAGGGAGAUUUUCCUUGAUAUUGCUUGUUUCUUUAAGGGGAAAAGUAUAAAGGACAUCAAGGAAGUUCUUGACAGCUGUGAUUUCGACACAAUCAUAGGAAUAGAAAUUCUCAUCGAAAGAUCCUUGAUAAAAAAUGAGGACGAGACCUUGCAAAUGCAUGAUUUGAUUCAGUCGAUGGGUCAAGAUAUUGUUAAUCAAGCAUGUCGUGAUGAUCCUGGGAAACGCAGCAGAUUAUGGCUUUUGGAGGAUGUUGAGGACGUUUUUUGUUAUAAUACGGUAAAAGUUGUUUAUGUCAGUUUUGCUACAUUUUGGUUUACAUUACUCUAAUUUGAACGGUCUAACGUAAAUCUUAAUUGAAAAUUUUGUCUGACAACUGAAUUUGCUCUGUUAUGGAUAGGGGACGGAUGCAGUAAAGGCCAUAGUAUUGGACUGGCCCCUACCAAAAGCGAUAAUCAUCAGUCCUGAUACUUUCGCAAAUAUGAAAAAGUUGAGAAUGCUCAUUUUGCUUGGAGGACAUAUCUCUUCACAAGCUCAAGUACGUCUCCCUAACGAGUUAAGAUGGCUUGAAUGGCCCAAUGCCCCGAAUCUAGAAUUUGGCUCCUGUCCAAAGAAGCUCAUGAGACUCGAUGUCCCAAAAAGUCAUAUUAGACAAUUAGGGGGCAACUCUCAGGUAAGCCCUUGUGAUGAUUAGCUUUUCCUUUUUAUAGCUAUAAAAAACAUUCGCAGAUCUUAAUGACCGCAUUAGCAUGUUUUUGCAGAAAUUUAGCAAGCUGAAGUCCAUCGAUUUCAGUGAAUGCAAGUCCCUGGUUAGUAUUCACGACCUGUCAUCGGCUCCAAAUAUGGAGAAAUUGAUUCUUAAGGGGUGUGAAAGCUUGGUGGAGGUUCACCCAUCCAUUGGAGAUCUUGUCAAGCUAGAAGUUUUGUCACUAGAAUUGUGCUCUAAUCUUAGAAAUUUUCUUAACAUGCUGAAGACUAAAUCUCUUCAAACCCUUGUGCUCCAUGGUUGCUCUAAACUUGAGAAGUUCCCAGAUAUAGUCGGAAAGAUGGAACAUCUGAAAAGACUUGAUCUACAUGGGACAGCUAUUAAAGAACUCCCUGCGUCAAUUGAAAAUCUUGUCUCUGUGGAGUCGAUGAAUUUAGCAUCUUGCAAAAACCUCGUGAGGCUUCCGUUGCAAAUUUAUAAGUUGAAGAAUCUCGAGUCCCUUGAUCUUGGGGACUGCUCGAAUUUAAUUACGUUUCCAAAAAACAUGGAGGAUUCAACUGAUCCUCAUGGCUGUUUGGGAUUCCGAAGACUACGCCAACUACACCUUUAUGGCUGCAAUCUAUCAGAAGUAGAGUUCCUUGAGAAUUUUUCCAGUUUUCCCGCAUUGGAGUUUCUACACCUUCAAUAUAACAAGUUUACUCAUAUGCCGACAUGCAUCAACAAGUACUAUUGUUUGCGCUCAUUGAAUGUUAGGGGAUGCGAAGUACUACAAGAGAUUCCUCAGCUUCCACCAGAUAUAGUUUAUCUAUAUGCAGAUUGUUGCAAAUCUCUACAAAUACUCCCAGAUUUGUGGGGUCAGCCCUCCCACACCUGGUCUGUUAGCUUGGUUUCAUGUUGUGAAUUAUUCGGCAAAGGGGUCAAUAUGGAUGAUGUGGCUAAUGUGUCAUUACUCGAGGUCUCUCUCUGUUUAUAUGUAUAUGUAUAUGUAUAUGUAUAUGUAUAUAACUUCAAAUGCUUGACAUGCGUACUUUCCGUGUGACAGAAACUGCCAAAGAUGAUAGAUGACGUCAGCAUUGUCGUAAUUGGAAGAGAGAUGCCUAAAUGGAUUCUCCCCUGUGAAGAGGAUUCCAUAUCUUUCAUGAUUCCCUGGGAGAUGUACGACAAGUUAAAAGGAGUAGCAGUCUGUGUUGUUCUUGGCCCGGAGGAAGGAAAAGUGGUCGAUGCUUCAUGUUCAUUCGAAAUAUUUGUUAAUGGCCAGUCAGCGGGUCAAUGGGUGGAAUCUUUUUAUUUAUUAGAAUCUGACCAUGUGUGGUUUUAUUAUUAUUAUAUACACCAUUUUGUAAUUUGGCAAAAUGAUGGGAUCCAUUACCAAGUUUGCCUCAGGGCAAAAAUAGCAAGCAUAAAGAAGUGUGGAUUCCGUCCAAUAUACGAGCAAAACGAGGAUAUUCUGAGGAUGGUGAUCCCAGCACCAUCCGACAAUGGAAACAAAUUGAAGUUUUCAAGGAGUGACUCAGAAGAAGAUUGUUCAAUAGACACCGUGGAAGCAGAUGUUCUAUUUGAAAUAUCUGCAGAGCAAAGCUCAUCACGUUUAACAAAGAAGAGAAGACGGUCUUAACUACGGUGAGACUAUGAGUUCCAAUGUCUUUACUUUUCCCUUUUCUGGGCCUCCACUAGAGAUUUGCAAGUGCCUGCUUCUUCAAUUAGAAUUCAAGAUCAUUAUAAGAUGGGUUUCGCACCAUGCUAUUGGCAUGAUUGAGGAACUUUUUUUUUUCUUUCUGCCUUGUUUCUCUAUGAUUUGUGAUGCUGAGUGCAUUAAACCAAAAAUUAAGAGGAUGCUUGUUAAAAUGGCCAUAGUCUUCCAAGUUACUCCGUGUAAUUUAUCACACGAGCCUCUGUCACCUCUCUUAAUCCAAUUAAUGAUGUCAAUAUUUGGUACUUCAAAAUUCUGAGAUAGUAAAGUUUGCUCAAUCUAGUAUAAUCUGCAUCUUUAGGAUAGUGUCGUUUGAAUUGUCUCAAACAUCAAGAGGUCUAAACAGGGAAAAUUAGUUGAUUCCUCUAUUGUUGGUCGGCAGAUUGCAUUGGAUAGGUAAAAAGGGAUAGCGCUAGCUUCUAAGAAACUUUGCAUUUUGGCAAAGGAGGUUGACUUCAAGGAUUUUCAUGAAAAGCAAAUAGUAUGUGGCGAACACCUUCUAAAAUAAGUAUCGCAAAGCAAUUUUGUCUUUUGAGUCCUUGGCCUACCCUUCGUCAUUCCAGAUUCGUUUGUCGAUCACAUCGAUGUCGCCCUCCACACCCUCGCCGCCGCGCAUAAGCAGCAUAUUUAUCUGAAAUCGAAAGCUGAAAACGUCCUCAUGAGCCAAAUUACCGAGUCCGGUCCAAUAUUUUCCUGAGAAUGGGACAGGCUGAGAGCGCUUGUUUCUUUAAAGCGAGAAAGAGCGAGAGCCAGAGCAAAGGGAAGAGAUCGUCGACUUCGCUGCCGAUCGGAGAAGGGCAACGCCGGGUCAGAGGCCGCCGUGCCUCUCCGAGAGCAAAGCCAACUCUGUUUCAGCCUUCAGCCCUUGAUUUUCGCAGCAAGACUCUCUGUUCCGAUGCUUGGCAUUCUAGGGAAGCACAUGUACCAUCAGCUCUUCUAAUGGCUGCUUCUUCGAACAUGAAAAGGAAUUACCAUGUGUUCCUCAGUUUCAGAGGGACAGAUGUCCGCCAUGGCUUCCUCAGUCAUCUCUACGCGGCUCUGGACCAGAAAGGAAUAUACACUUUUGUGGAUAGCGAAGAGCUUAGGAAAGGAGAGGAAAUAUCGCCGACGCUCAUGAGGGCGAUUGAGGAAUCGCGCAUUGCGAUCAUCGUUUUCUCUGAGGACUACACCUCCUCGCCGUGGUGUUUGGAAGAGCUCUUGAAAAUCAUGGAGUGCAAAAAGCGAAACGACCUGAUUGUGGUCCCUGUGUUUUACAAAGUGGAACCGAGAGAAGUAAGAGGAGGGAGAGAAAGAUAUGGGAGAGCUAUGACUAAGCAUGAGUCCAAGUUCGGAAAGGAUUUGCAGAAAGUGAAGAGAUGGAAGAAAGCUCUCUUUGAAGCCGGUAGCUUGUCUGGGUGGCCCUUGAAUGACAAGUACGCACAAAUGUGACGCGGUGCUUUGCGGUUGUUAGCUUGUGAUUGUUUGUUAGAUAUCAAAUCGUAUGUAUAGCUGCGAAUUGCCGAUGCAUCAACUUCUUUGAAUUCGCUGUAGACACAAAAGUCGAAAAACCAAAAUUUCAAGCUAGCAGAAAUUUUAGUCUUAGAAAAGUAGUGUGGUUCCUAGGACCCGAGUAUUUUGUGUCUUCAGGCGCAGAUUCUUUGUAAUUUUCCUUCCGCAGAUGUUGGUGCCGGUAUGUGUUAUUUCUUUUCAUCUUUUUAUUUGUUAAUCUCCUUAUGAAAUUUUCCUUAUGACGUUAGACAUUGAAUUCCUGCCAUGGCUUGAAAUGGUAAAACAUGUUUCUAUUUCUUUUGAGUGCUCAUCAGACAUGAAGCGGAGCUCAUACAAUCCAUCACCGAGGAAUUAUCAAGUCGUCUCAGACCAAGAUCCUUAGAUGUUGCUAAGUAUCCGGUCAAUAUAGAUUCCCGAGUUCAAAAACUGAUAAGUUUGUCAUAGUCAGCUGGUAGUGAGGUUUUGAUGAUAGAUCUAUGGGGACUUGGCGGCAUAGGGAAGACUAUGAUUGCUAAGGCCCUAUAUAAUGCUAUUAAGAAGCAAUUUCAGGGUUGUAGUUUUUUGGCACAAGUCAGAGAAAAAUCGAACCAAAGCGAUGGUCGUGUUGCUUUGCAAAAACAACUUCUAUCUGAGAUCUUACCUCAUACAGAAUUACCCGGUCUACAAUGUUGAUGGAGGAAUUAGUUGAUACGAGAAAGACUAUGUUGCAAGAAGGUUCUCCUAGUUCUUGAUGAUGUUGAUAAGAUAGAUCAACUACAUGCCUUAGCUAGAAGAGGCAAUUGGUUUGGCCAAGGAAGUAGAAUCAUUGUUACGUCAAGGGAUAAACAUUUACUAACUUCUCAUACCAUAAAUUGUGUGUAUGAAGUUAAAACUUUACAAGAUGACAAAGCACGAGACCUAUGACGACCCAGACCCGAGGCAGUACGGAGGGACGGACUAAGAUCACCUCGGCAGUACGUGGGCAAGGCUAAGAGCAUUUCUCCUGUCCCACAUCGCUUAGGGGGAGAGUCCUAGGCUAGUUUAUAAUGGCUUGGGCCUCUCUAAUCUGUGUAACGUGUUUCACGUACGCUUCCGCUGCGCUGAAAACAAAGCCGUGAGGGAGGACGGGCCGGUGGGCCAUGCCUCCAAAGUAGACAAUAUUAUGGCUUGGGAGAGGGAAGGCUUGAGGGAUGGCCCUAUGUCCCUGCGUAAUGCGUUUUAAGUCCGUGAGGACUCAGUGUCCAAAGCAAACAAUAUUACAUAAUGGGGCUCGGGUCAUUACAAAUGGUAUUGAAGCAGACUCCUGACCACGUGUGGGGCCACAGCGAGGGCACUGUGCCUUAAGAGGGGGAGAAUGUGAUGACCCAAACCCGGGGCAGUACAGAGGGACGGACUAAGAUCGCCUCAGCAGUACGCGGGCAAGGCUAAGGGCAUUUCUCUUGUCCCACAUCACUUAGGGUGAGAGUCCUGGGCUAAUUUAUAAUAACUUGGGCCCCUCUAAUCUGUGUAAUGCAUUUCACGUAUGCUUCCACUACGCUAAAAACAAAGCCGUGAGGGAGGAUGGGCCGGUGGGCCGUGCCUCCAAAGCGGACAAUAUUAUGGCUUGGGAGAGGGAAGGCCCGAGGGAUGGCUCUCUGCCUUUGCGGAACGCGUUUUAAAGCCGUGAGGACUCAGUGUCCAAAGCGGACAAUAUUACACAGUAGGGCUUGGGUCAUUACAAGACCUUUUUGGUCAAUGUCCAAAGCGGACAAUAUUACAUAGUAGGGCCCGGGUCAUUACAAGACCUUUUUGGUCAGCACGCCUUUACAAAUAGCAAUGAAGUAGAAAUAAGAAGGGAUCUCAUAGAUGGAGCACUGCAUUAUGCCAACGGCCUUCCGUUAGCCCUGGAAGUGUUGGGCUCAUUCUUAUGUGGAAGAAAGGAACCUGCAUGGGAAAGUGCAUUGCAUAAACUCUCCAAAAUUCCUGAACCAACUAUCAAUCAAGUUCUCAAGAUAAGCUUCGAUGGAUUAGACGACAAUGAGAGGGAGAUUUUCCUCGAUAUUGCUUGUUUCUUUAAGGGAAAGAGAAUAGAAUACAUCCAGGAAGUUCUUGACAGCUGUGAUUUCGACACAACCAUAGGAAUAGAAAUUCUCAUCGAGAGAUCCUUGAUAAAAAAAUGAGAAUGGUUCUUGCAAAUGCAUGAUUUGGUUCAGUUGAUGGGUAGGGAUAUUGUUCAACAAGAAUGUUGCAAUGAUCCUGGGAAACGCAGCAGAUUAUGGCUUUUGGAAGAUGUUGAGGACAUUUUUUGUUAUAAUACAAUAAAAUUUGUUUGUCAGUUUUGCUACAUUUCAGUUUACAUUACUCUAAUUCGGACAGUAUAAUGUAAAUCUUAACUAGAAAUUUUGUCUAACAACUGAGUUUGCUCUGUUAUGGAUAGGGGACAAAUGCAGUAAAGGCCAUAGUAUUGAAAUGGUCCCCACCAGAAGCGAUAAUCAUCAAUCCUGAUGCUUUCACAAAUAUGAAAAAGUUGAGAAUGCUCAUUUUGCUUGGAGUUCAUAUCUCUUCACAAGCUCAAGUACUUCUCCCUAAUGAGCUAAGGUGGCUUGAAUGGCCCAAUGCUGUGAAUCUAGAAUUUGGCUCUGGUUCGAAUAAACUUGUGGGACUCAAUGUCCCGAAAAGUCAUAUUAGACAAUUAGGGGGCAAUUUUCAGGUAAGCCCUUGUGAUAAUUAGCUUUUCCUUUUUAUAGCUAUAAAAAUAAUUUGCAGAGCUUAAUGACUGUACUAGUAUGUUUUUGCAGAAGUUUAGAGAACUGAAGUACAUCAAUUUUUGUGAAUGCAAGUUCCUGGUUAGUAUUCCUGAUCUGUCAUCAGCUCCAAAUAUGGAGAAAUUGAUUCUUAAUAGGUGUGAGAGCUUGGUGGAGGUUCACCCAUCCGUUGGAAAUCUUGUCAAGCUAGAAGUUUUGUCGCUAGAAUUGUGCUCUAAUCUUAGUAAUUUUCCUAACACAAUGAGGACUAAAUCUCUUCAAACCCUAACACUCGCUGGUUGCUCUAAACUUGAGAAGUUCCCAGAUACUGACGAAAAGAUGGAACAUUUGAGAAGCCUUUCUCUAGGCAGGACAGCUAUUAAAGAACUCCCCGCAUCAAUUCAAAAUAUUGUCUCUGUGAAGUAUAUGUAUUUAGCAUCUUGCAAAAACCUGGUGAGGCUUCCAUUGCACAUUUAUAAAUUGAAAAAUCUCUUCUAUUUGGAUCUUGAUGGCUGCUCGAAUUUAACCACGUUUCCAAAAAACUUAGAGGAUUCAAUUGAUCUCGAUGGCUGUCUGGGAUUCCGAGAACUAUCCUGCCUAGUGCUUAGUGGUUGCAAUCUAUCAGAAGUAGAGUUCCUUGAGUUAUUCCAGUUUUCCCAAUUUGUGCUCCCUAGUCCUUUCAAAUAACAAGUUUACUCAUUUGCCAACAUGCAUCAACAAGUACUAUCAUUUGGGCACAUUGCGUGUUAAGGGAUGCGAGCUACUACAAGAGAUUCCUCAGCUUCCACCAAAUAUUUGUGUACUACCAGCAUCUAAUUGCAACACCCUGCAAAAAAUCCCAGAUUUGCUGGGGGAUCGUCGUUCCUUUUCGGGUGAUUUGAGUUCAUGUCGUGAAUUAUUCUGCGAAGGGGUCAAUAUGGAUGGUGUGGCUAAUUUGUCAUUACUCGAGGUCUCUCUCUCUCUCUCUCUCUAUAUAUAUAUACUUAAGUGCUUGAUAUGCAUACCCUCUGCGUGACAGAAACUGCGAAAGAUGGGCUAGCUUGACAUUAUUAUAAGUGGAAGAGAGAUGCCUAAAUGGAUUCAACCCUGUGAAGAGCAUUCCAUAUUUUUCAUGGUUCCAUGGGACUUUUAUGAUAAGUUUAAAGGGCUAGCACUCUGUGUUGUUCUUAGCCCGGAGGAAGGAAAAGUGGUCGACGUUUUAUGUCACGUCACGAUACUUGUAAAUGGCCAAUCCGUGAUGACUCUGGGCAAAAAACUUUGGUCAAUGGAAUCUGACCAUGUGUGGCUUUAUUAUUAUUCACACGAUGGUCUGUUUAAAGAGAAGAAGCUUUUGCGAAAUGAUUGGAGCCAUGUCCAUGUCUGCUUCGAAGCAAAACAGGGAAGCAUAAAGAAGUGUGGAUUCCGUCUAAUAUGUGAACAAAAGGAGGAUGAUCUAAGGGUGGUGUUCCCAGUAUCACCAGCUGAUGGAAGCAACCCAGUACCACCAGCUAAUGGAAGCAAUGUGAAGGUUUUCUGGGAAGACUCAGAAGAAGAAAAUUCAAUAGAACCCGGGGAAGAAACUCCAAUUGAAACAGAUGCAGAGGAAAGCUCAUCACCUUUAACAAAGAAGAUAAGACGGUCUUAACUACGGUGAGACUUUGAGUUCUAAUGUCUUUGCUUUUCCCUUUUCUGGACCUCCACUAGAGAUUUGCAAGUGUUUGCUCCUUCAAUUAGAAUUCAAGAUCAUUAUAAAACAGAGGUUUCGCACCAUGCUACUAACAUGAUUAGGGAACAUUUUUUUUUUUUUUUUGCCUCUGAUUCUUUAUGAUUUGUAAUGCCUGUGCAUUAACCAAAAAUUAAGAGGAUGCCUGUUGAAAUGGCCAUGGUCUUCCAAGUUGCUCCAUGUAAUUUAUUAGAUGGGCCUGUGUCGCCUCUCUUAAUCCAAUUCCAAUUAAUGAUGUUGAUAUUUCAUAAUUCAAAAUUAUGAGAUAGUAAGUUUUGCUAAAUCUACUAUAAUCUAUAUCUUUAGGAAAGUGCUGUUCGAAUUGUCUCAUAGAUCAAGAGGUCUAUACAGGGAAAGUUAGUUGAUUCCUCUGUUGUUACUCGGCAGCUUGCAUUGGAUAGGUAUAAAGGGAGAGCUUUGGCGUAUGAGAAACGUUGCAUUUUAGUAAAGGAGAUUGACUUCAAGGAUAUUCAUGAAAAGCAAACAGUAUUUGGCAAACACCAAACACCUUCUAAAAUAAGUAUUGCAAAGCAAUUUUUAGAAUGAGAAAAAAAAAAUUAACAAGGAAGAAUGAAGGAACUUGCAAGUACAUAUGAAAGCACAAGCGGGUGGCACAACAGUAGGACUAGUGUCGACCUUGUGCGAUCCUAGGCAAUAUGCCAUUGAGGUCAACCAAACCUAGGAGACGCAACACCAGUGUUGCUUGACCCUAGGCGACAUGGCACUCGACGCCAAUGUCCCAUAACCUCAAGUGGUGGAAUGUCGAAGCCACACAACUAGGCAACGCGACGCUCAACCCUCGACAAGCUAAAUCUGGCAUCAAGCAACCCUCACAAAGCUUCUAGGAAUCAUGCAAUCGUCAACAAAGCUUUGCCGGUGUCCAUCAACCGUCGGCCUCCUUCACGAAGCUUCCUAGCCAUAACCAACCAUGGCUUUCUCUCUCCUAACCAAAAUUGAGGGGUAAAAUAUUAUUACAAAUAUAUUUUGAUGAUGGUAAGAUUGUAAGAAAAGAAAUUUCAUUAAUCUCCCGAACUUGCAUUCGGAAAAUACUAAAGUCCAAAGGUGAGGCUCGCCUCAAGCUUAAAGCAUUUCAAAGCAGAACUUUUUAUUAAAAAGUUUUUGAAGUUAUGUUACCAAAUAUCAAAACUUGUUUUAAGAGCUUUUGAAAGCUAAAACAGCUUAAUUCAAGAUGACGGAGCACUCAAAUUUUUAAUGGCCAAAUUGGACGGGAUUGAAACGGAGGGUAAAAUUGGAAGAGUAUAUCAAUUUGGGGGUCCCUGUGGGUCAAACAAUAAUUUUUAGUAAAUUAUUUAAGGGUAUUGAUUUAAGAUUUUUUGUGAUGGUAAUCCAAAAAUGGAGUUUCAAGGAAAAAAAAAAAACUCAAAGGAAGACAAUUUUCAAUAGAUACCGAGGAAGAAUAUAGUCCAGUGGAACAAAACUUAACAAAGAAGAUGAAAUGGUCUCUACCGUGGCAGAGUAUGGCUUGCAAAACAUGCUUGUUGAGUUGGUCAUGACUUGUUGAGGAAGUGAUUCCAGGUGAUUUUCAUUCCAAUGUCUCUAGCUUUUCCCUUUUUUUGUAUACUGAAAUUUGAAAAUGUCUGCUCCUUGGAUCAGAAUUUAAAAUCACAAUGAAAUAGAGGUUUCGCCUCAGGCUACUAACAUGGUUGAGGAACUUCUUCGUUUUCCUCUCUUUUAUGAUUUGUGAUGUUGAGUGCAUAAAAUCAAAAUUAAUUGGAUGCUUGUUGAAUGGCCAUUGGUCUUCCAAGUUGCUCCGUGUAAUUUAUCAUAUGGACCUCAAGGAGAACAAAGGACUAUGUCGACGCUUAUGAAAGCACAGAUGAGCGACACAACGGUGGGACCAAUGCCGACAUUGCACGCCCCCAAGCGAUGUGGCAUCGAGGUCGAGCAAACCCACACAAUGCAACAUCCAUGUCUUGUGACCCCAAGUGGUGCAUCGCAGAGGCCACCCGCUAGGCAACACAACACUUGACCCUCGUUAAGCUAAAAUUGGCAUCGAGCGACCUUGACCAAGCUUCCCAGCAUCAUGCAACUGUCAACGAGCUAGAUCUAGUGUCAAGCAAUCCUCAACGAAAGUUGAGGACUUAUCUUGAGCUUUGAAUAUUUUCAAAACAAAAAUUUGUACAAAAAAUCUUUGAAAUUGUGUUACCAAAUUUCAAAACUUUGAAUCAAAGGCAUUUGGAGGCCCAAAACAAGUUAAUUCAAACACUCAAAAUUUAUAAUGGCUAAAUUAGAUGGGAUUGAAAAGGAAGGUGAAAUUGGAAUACACUAAAAUUGCCUUUAUAUUCUUCAUCAGCUUACAUUAAAAUUCAAUGAUGUAGAAAUGACAUUUGCUGAUUUCUCAAUCCGACAUCUUAAGCUAAAUAUAAGAUUACUAUAGUCUCCACACAAGUGACCUAAUCACAUUAUGAGAGAAUGAGAUAUCAAAAGCUCAUUACUAAACUAUCACUUAUAAUCAUUAAAGGUUCAAGAUCAUGUGCACGGCGAUGUCUUUUUUCAAUAUCUAAUUUCUUGGAUCGUAACAUGUAUUCAGGUCUCGUAUGAUUCACCAGUCAUAACAUCACUCCUUCGCUCACUCUCUCUCUCUCUCUCUCUCUCUCUCUCUCAUGUGCAAACAAAUUUAUACUCCACAGAGGACAGGAAAGAACUACCAACGCUAGUGACCCUCUUUUGGAUGUCACCCCAUAAAGAGUAUUGUUGACCUCUGAGUUUUGUCCAUUGUCCAAGUGUCCAUUUUGGGCAAAAACAUAAAAGCGCUAGUGACCUUGAGUAUUGUCCAUUGUCCAAGUGUCCAUUUUGGGCAAAAACAUAAAAGUGCAAAUAAUAAUAAUUAGAAUUAGUUCAGCCCAAAAUCUAAUCCCCUCAGCCCAUCUUUUAGUUCCCUUUGAGCCCAUUUUUUUUGUUCCUAAUGUUGUCCUCAAUAGCCCAUCUGAACUUAAAA
rnacentral:lncRNA from 1 species